ncrna:unclassified sequences PAGEV RNA
CUGCGCUUGGAAUCGUGAUGUGAAGCUAAUAACUUCUAUCUUGGGCGUAACUAACUGUAUCGACCAGUAAUCAAGGGGUUCUCAAAUACUGGCGUAACGGAUCAAUUAGACAAACGACGUAAUACGGCAGGUUAUAAGCAUAGCCACUUAUAGCCCUAGAAAAGCCUAAUGAACCGCUUUAAAGCGGGUUUAUCAGUGAACCUGAUAGAUAUACCUAAUUGAUUGUCAUCGACGGAGAGGGGCGCUUUAUAAGCGUAUCUGAUGGCACGUGGGG